AACGCACAUUGCGCCCUUUGGCAUUCCAAAGGGCACGCCUGUUUGAUGGCCUGCAACAGAGGAUCGUGCUUGCAGUUUCGGCUGCCUGUCACGUCCGUUCAUGGACUUGUUUUUCUCGCUUUGGCGGGAAGUCCUAAUUUCAUUGCGCUCCUGGCGGGUGCUGGAGAGCAAGGGUAACCUUCUAAGCGUGUGCUCGGUGGAAUUUCUUCUCAUAGAGAGGUUGGCUCACCUUGCGCAUUCUUUACCGGAGAGAUUCGGAGGCGACUUUUGCUUUUCACCUUUGUCCAGUCCAGAGCGAUAAGUUCUUGGAGCAUCAAAAACUCCUCAAUUGCCAUCAAAUCAGGUGGGACUACCCGCUGAACUUAA
rnacentral:misc_RNA from 1 species